UUUCAGAUUCAUGGUCUCUGUGAUUUGGUUGACAUAUCCUUCAAACCACAUGGGAUAAUCAAAGUUACCCUUGUUGGAUCCCAUUAUAAUCUUUUUAAGAAACCCCAGGAGCCUUCAUGAGGCAAUAGAUGGAUAGACUGCACACCCCCAGAGCCUGAUGCUCAAGUUGCUCAUUAUUCCUGUAUGGGUUUCAGAAAAGUGACUAUGCAACUCUCUCAUCUGGGAAGCAGUGCUAAUCCAGAUGAAAAUUAGAAGAUUCUUGCUUACAAGGAAUUCAAAAUUGUGCAGUGGUGCUGAUGUGGAUUCCUGAGGCUCUGGGACAGGACAACCAAUCACACAGGAGUCUGGCAUUCAUAUAUAUGGACAACAUUGAAAAAUCCCUGAUAAAAUGAGUUUUGUUAUGGCCUGAAGAUGCAGCUUAUCACAGGUCCGUAGUGAUUGCCAUAUCAUGCAGGGAGAUGAGCAGUCUUCACCAUGUAUCAUUUCUGAAAGUGUCAGCAUCGUGUCCUGUCUUGGGAGACACAGCAACAAUACCUAUCACGUAAAUCUCAGGGCACCUCUACUUAGAGGUGGGAAAAACAGAGGAUGGGGGACUUAAAUGACCUUUGGGACAUCACCCAGCAGCCAAGAGAGAGAAUCCAGAUCUUUGGAACAUUUCUCUUCUGGAAGGAUACUUCACAAAACACUCAU